CUGUGGCUACUAAGUUUUCUUUGGAAAUCCACCUCUAAUUCAAAUUCUCUUUGCAGCUUGUAUUAAAAAUGAAAUUGUUGACAAAAAACAAAUUUUACACUACAGUCAAUACAGAUAAGUGUAGAGAGGGAAAUGUGGUCUUCAUGGUUGGGCCGGUUUACACGUUAAUUACAUGUAGACUGCGAGUUUAACUAUAUGUACUAAUCCGAGUUCGUAUAUAUCUGUAGGGCUAAGAUGGUCGGCUCUUUAUCAUUUGUCACCAUGCCUAUCACGUUCUUAAAGUAUUGACGACCGGUUUGGCCUAGUGGGUGACCCUGCCUACGAAGCUGAUGGUCCCGGGUUCAAAUCCUGGUAAGGGCAUUUAUUCGUGUGACGAGCAUGGAUAUUUGUUCCUGAGUCAUGGGUGUUUUCUAUGUAUUUAAGUAUUUAUAAAUAUUUAUAUAUUAUAUAUAUCGUUGUCUAAGUACCCUCAACACAAGCCUUAUUGAGCUUACUGUGGGACUUAGUCAAUUUGUGUAAUAAUGUCCUAUAAUAUUUAUUUAUUAUUUAUUUAUUUAUUUAUGUAAGCGCGAAAGUGUCGGGCAUAGUGACAGGUGAUAAAAAUGGAACCAUGCUGCCACCGCCGGUCGUAUCUUAGUGACCCAUCUGUCGAGCAUGGAUGUGUAAUUGAAGUAAUUUGCAUGGACAUACAAGGACAUUAAAACAUUUUGUAUGGGGACUGUUGAUGUGUUAAGACUCUUCUUAACAGUGUUUUUGCCUUGUUUGUUUCAGCUCUGGUUAUAACUGCCGUUACGUGCGUAUUUAAUGUUAUAUUCAUAAUAGGCAGCAUUGUGUUCCUGUACUACGGGAUUCGUAAGAACGGAGUGAAGGCUAAAAAAGCAUAUGCGAUAAUUCUACUUAUAAAAGUAAUCGUCGUUAUAAUAGGGGUUAUUAUUUUUGGAGUAUUUGCUGGAGGUUAUUUAAAUUGGGCUUCUGGAGUUUGUUAUAUCAUUGUCGACAUUUGGUUUCUCGUGGUGGUAUACAGUUAUUACAAGGAACAUACAGCUGUUUCUGCAUAAACUUGACGUCAUCACGCCGACACUAAACCAAAGAGGCAAAUCCGUGGCACGAUACUUGUGUCAUAAAAUACUACAGUCAUUCUUGAUCGUAUUUGUGGAGUGUUAAAAGACGUUGAAUAUUAUAAUUAAUAUAAAGUGAGGUUUGCAAGCUUGUUAUUUUUUAUCUAAAAAAUUGUCCUGUCUACUUAUAUUUUAUUCUUCAUAAAAUAAAACAUUUGUAAAUU